GCGGUCAAACAACAGGAAAGUCGUUUCGUAAGACUACGAAUCUGAGGGUCGGACGUUCGAAUCGUUCCGGGCGCGCCA
rnacentral:tRNA from 1 species